rnacentral:rRNA from 1 species
UCGAGGACGAGCGCUGGCGGCGUGCCUAAUACAUGCAAGUCGAACGGUCUUUCUAUGAAGCUUGCUUCCACUGAGAAGAUAGUGGCGAACGGGUGAGUAACACGUGGGUAACCUGCCCAUAAGAGGGGGAUAACAUCCGGAAACGGUGCUAAUACCGCAUAGUUUUCUGAUCGCAUGAUUGAGAAAGGAAAGACGGCCUUUGUGCUGUCGCUUAUGGAUGGACCCGCGGCGUAUUAGUUAGUUGGUGAGGUAACGGCUCACCAAGACGAUGAUACGUAGCCGACCUGAGAGGGUGAUCGGCCACAUUGGGACUGAGACACGGCCCAAACUCCUACGGGAGGCAGCAGUAGGGAAUCUUCCGCAAUGGACGAAAGUCUGACGGAGCAACGCCGCGUGAGUGAAAGAAGGUUUUCGGAUCGUAAAACUCUGUUGUCAGAGAAGAACAAGUUGGAGAGUAACUGCUCCAGCCUUGACGGUAUCUGACCAGAAAGCCACGGCUAACUACGUGCCAGCCGCCGC